UGAGUAAGCCAGACGGUCGCUUGGCGCAGGCCACAAGCCUGCGUCCAGAGGAAAGUCCGGGCUCCAAAGGGCAGGGUGCCAGAUAACGUCUGGCGGGGGUGACCCUAGGGAAAGUGCAACAGAAACAUACCGCCUGCGGUGCAAGCCGUCGGUAAGGUUGAAAUGGUGAGGUAAGAGCUCACCGGCGGUAUGGUAACAUGCCGGCCGUGUAAACCCCACCCGGAGCAAGACCAAGUAGGGAGGAAACUGCUUUUAUGUACGAAGGGCCUCGGCCCUUAACGGCAGAAUUGCAAAGUACCUGAAAGGCGGUAGCCCGCCGCUUCCCGGAAGGUAGGUCGCUUGAGCGCAUCGGCGACGGUGCGCCUAGAUAGAUGAUCGUCUAAUACAGAACCCGGCUUACAGACUUGCUCAUCCA
rnacentral:RNase_P_RNA from 1 species